AAACGAACAAAAACCAGUAGAGAAACCGUACGCACAAAUACAAGUUCAUUUCAAAACCCCCCAAACCCUACAACCCUUUGAUCACUCCUCCUUUCCGGCCGGUGAUCGCCGCUCGUUUCUUCGCCGGUGACGUUCGUCUCUUCUCUCACAGUCAACAGGUGAUAUCUUGAAUCUCGCUGCUUAAUAUGGCGCAACCUGCUAGUAGUGUGAAAGAUCAGAUGUUUGAACCAGAGAGUGUUCAAAAAGCUCUGGUAAAUACAAUAAUAAUUGGUGAGUUUCCGUUCUCUGUUGUUGAACAAGAUGAGGUUAAAGAGAUUAUCGAAACCAAGUUCUCUGGUUUCCAAGUUCCAUCCAGUGAAAUGAUUUCUAGAGAUUGUGCCCAACUUUUCAUGGAUGAGAAGUUGAAGUUGAAAAGUUUUGUUAAGACAACAAAGCAAAGGGUUUGCUUAAGCUUGGAUACAUGGAAGUCAAACCAGUCAGUUAAUUACUUAUGCAUAACUGCUCACUUUAUCGAUGAAAAUUGGAAAUUGCACAAGAAGAUCAUCGGUUUUAGCCCCAUUAGUAGUGAUAAUGGAGAGGAGAUAGGAAGGGUGGUUGAAAACUGUUUACAUGAUUGGGAAAUCAGUAAUGUUUUGGCCAUCUCUGCUGGUAAUGCAAGCUCAUAUGAUGCUGCGAUUAGUUAUUUAGGAUCAAGACUAGCGAAUCCUGUGUUGGAUGGCAAGUUUCUCCGCCUUAAAUGUCUUGUUGAGCUGACGAAUACUAUGGUAAAAGGGGUCUUAAAAGAUUAUGAUAAACCGAUUGCACAUGUGCGUGCAAUGGUUAGAUGCGUGAAACAAUCGCCAGAUAGGAUUAGAAAGUUCAAACAACGCGCUAAAGAAUACGGGAUAGUGUUCAAAUCUUUAUUCACUCUUGAUUGUCCGUCUAGAUGGACCUCAACUUUUGAGAUGUUGUAUAUGGCUGAAAAGUUUGAAACCGUUUUCAAGUGGCUUGAGAAAGAAGAUCCAACCUAUAUUAAUGAAUUGUCUAACACUUGUGGGGUUCCAGUUCAUGUUAAUUGGGAAAAGGUAAGGACCGUCAUAUACUUCUUACAUGUUUUGUUUCUGUCAAAUAAAAAGAUAUUGGGUUUGCAUGUAACAUCUAAUAUGUUUCUUGAUCAAAUUGCCCGUAUCGACUUCCACUUGGAUAAUUGGGGAAAAUCUAGUUUGGACUUUCUAAGUGGCAGUAAGGAACGUUUUAUGAAGGCUCUGGAUUUGGCGUGGAAUUAUAGCGCGUAUUGGGGAGAUGUUGAGAAUUCAAAUAUGUUAAUAUACAUCGCGAGUAUCCUUGACCCUCGUCAAAAAACAGAUUGUAUGGAAGAGUAUUUCUUGAACCGCAAAUACAAACAUGACUACACUGAUGAAGGAGUACCUACAUGGAAAAAGAAGGCAGAAUGGGUAGUUGCUGCUGCAUAUGACUUGUUCAAUGAGUAUGUUGGUAUGACCGGGGCCCAACAUCAAACUGCAAAAUUUCAAUCGAGCGGUUACAUGAGCUACUUAUACCAUUACACGGGUCCAACAGGGUUGUUUCAGAAACGCGUGGUGGGUUUUGGAGGUAAUGUAGGAUGCAAGUCAGAGAUCGAUAUAUAUCUUGAUGAGGAUUUUGAUGAAUAUGAUGGUUUUGAUGUACUACUUUGGUGGAAGGUUAAUAGUGAAAGAUUUCCCGUUCUGUCUAGAAUGGCUAAAGAUGUUUUGGCAAUUCCAAUCUCAGCUGUUGCAUUGGAGUCAGAUAUCAACGUUGGUGGUAAUCUGUUAGAUGAUUUUAGAAGCUCUCUGUCUCCUUCAAUGGUUGAAGCUGUGGUUUGCACUCAAGAUUGGAUAAACAAGUCAAAUAAACAAAUCAAAGGGAAGAAAGGUUCAACUAAACUUGCUGACAAAAUCUUGAAAGUUACAAGUUUCAUUCCCUCAUCCGGACUGUGAACCAAACUGUCAAGACCGCCAAAACCACCUAUUUGCUUCGGAUCAAGUGUUUUGCUUUUAUGUAGGUAUAAAUGAACAACUGGAGGGUGGCAUGAGCGGAUGCGGGUAAAGCUGCUUGGUAUAUGAUAUAUGUGUUGCUUUGUAUUUUGGGACGUCUAGAAAUCAAAUAGUUAUUACGUUUUGGUUUGAGACAUGGUUCAGAUUAUGGUUUGGUUUAAGACUUAUUGGUUCAUGUUGGUUUGGUUUAUAAGACUUAAUGGUUCAUGUUAGUUCAGAUUAUGGUUUGGUUUAAGACUUAUCGGUUCAUGUUGGUUCGGUUUA